AAAUAAGACACUUCUAAAUUACCAAUAGGUCAAAUAAGAAAUUACAAGCAAAAUUAGAAAAUACUUUGAAGCAAAUUAAAAUGAAAACAGAG